AGGCCCUGUGAGACUUUCCAGAACAUUCUCAUGUGUGGAUACGUGCAAUGUAUUAGGUUGUAAUGACCCUAUGAGAGCAAGCAGGAGGUGACAAGAACUGGUUACAGGUCAGGGGCAUGAGAGAAGCUGAAGGCUCCAUUUAUGUGCUGCCCAGUGCAGCCCUACCAAAGAGCAUUGCUGACAGAGCCUGCUGCAGAUGAAGCUUGAACAAAGGUGAGAGCCUACCGCAGUAUCUCCUGGGGGCCCCUCUUUCAUUGGCCCUGUCCAAGGGGGGCUUUGAGCAGCCCCUGUACCCUUUGCCUCCUGAAAAGUGUGGAGUGACCCAUCAGCUGCUACUGAUGAGCCCCAGGAUCUGAGGUACUGGAGGUCAUAAGAGCUAGUGAGCAUGCCCAUGACACAGCUGUGUGCUCUGGGUGUGUGUUUGGAGGAGGCAUAUACAUCAGAGUGAAUGCAGCACAAAUGACAUGGGUGUAACUCUCCUCUGCUGGGAAAGAGAAACUUGGAUAACUGAAGGUAUCAGGCCUGUCUGCUUCUCUUCAGUCAGUUGUAAGGCAUUCGUAAGGGUGAAGAUGGUAGUCUUCAGUUUCAUCCCAGACAUGUCUCCAUAUUACUGCAGUGCCCAAAUGGAUCCAAGGCUGCGUGUGAGUUGUUCGAGAAAACAAAAAUUUUCUGCUGACUAAUGAGUCUCUGACUUCCUCCAGUCUACCAAAUGUUCUAGGUAAGUCAGACAUGUUUCUUUUAUAGCAUUGUUCUUAUUUUCUAAAUUGCCAGUGAAUUUCUUGUUGAAGUAAAGCAAAAUAGUAUGUUGCAUUACCCUGUGCUUCAGAUUGAUGCAUAUUAAAGAGGGUGUUACUACUAAAUACUUAGCAAAACAGUCAUUCAGCUAAGUGUCUAGAGUUAUACAUAUGACCAUAAAGCGAGAUUAUACCACAAGCAAUUUUUAUGGCAGGAUUUGUAUGGUAUUGCAGGAUGGUUUUCAGAAAAGAGAGUAAAAAUCUACUGUUAGUUUUCCAAGUGGAAGUCCAAUUGUUUUUAUUAAAAUAGCAACCAUCAAUUUAUUGGUUUGAUUCAAAUGUUAACAAAGACUUUUCUCCUUCGAGUCUUUUUCCAUGAGAUUUCAACUGUAUCCUAUUUAGCAGUUGGAAAUGUUUCCUAAAAGAAAGAGAGCAAAAUAACCUUUCAGCUUUUUCUGAAGCCUAGAAGUGUUUUGUUUUGCCAGCUGUCUAUGGAAGUUCAGUGCAUAAAAGGUUAGGAGCCUGACUUUUUUUUCUGUCUUGUAUAUCUUUGAAAAAUUGGUUUAUGGCGAGUCAUACAUCAUGUAGCUAAGACAUAUGGGAAUAGUUAAAGAUUAAGGUAAAUAGACAAAUUGAACUGCUUUAAAUCAUUUUUCCCUGUUUCACUUUUAUGAAAGAGCUUAUGAACAGAAGUUGACAUUAAGCAAUCACAAUAGGCUAUUCUAUAUAUUUUAGACAGUGGUAAAGACUUUAGUGUCAGAAAGUGUUGCAUCACUGAUAGUUAUAUCAAUUUGAUUGGUGUCCAAGUUUUAAAAAUGUUACUUUGUCAAGUCAUAACCUUUUCU
ensembl:lncRNA